GUUUGAUUCUGGCUCAGAUUGAACGCUGGCGGGAUGCUUUACACAUGCAAAGUCGAACGGCAGCACGGACUUCGGUCUGGUGGCGAGUGGCGAACAGGUGAGUAAUGUAUCGGAACGUGCCUAGUAGUGAGGAUAACUACGCGAAGGCGUAGCUAAUACCGCAUACGCCCUUCGGGGAAAGCGAGGGGACCUUCGGGCCUCGCACUAUUGGAAGCGGCCGAUAUCGGAUUAGCUAGUUGGUGGGGUAACGGCUCACCAAGGCGACGAUCCGUAGCUGGUUUGUAGUCGAUAAUUUGUAACGCGGUGAAGGUGGCUGGUCUGCGGAAGCGAAAAUGCGGAAUUUUUACGGGCAAUGGAAACCUGGUCCCAGCCAUCCCGCGUGUGCGAUGAAGGCCUUCGGGUUGUAAGCGCUUUUGGCAGGAAAGAAACGGCGCAGGAUAAUACCCCGUGCAACUGACGGUACCUGCAGAAUAAGCACCGGCUAACUACGUGCCAGCAGCCGCGGUAAUACGUAGGGUGCAAGCGUUAAUCGGAAUUACUGGGCGUAAAGCGUGCUGGGCGGUUCCGGAAAGAAAGAUGUGAAAUCCCAGAGCUUAACUUUGGAACUGCAUUUUUAACUACCGAGCUAGAGUGUGUCAGAGGGAGUGGAAUUCCGCGUGUAGCAGUGAAAUGCGUAGAUAUGCGGAGGAACACCGAUGGCGAAGGCAGCCUCCGAGGGAUAACACUGACGCUCAUGCACGAAAGCGUGGGAGCAAACAGGAUUAGAUACCCUGGUAGUCCACGCCCUAAACGAUGUCAACUAGCUGUUGGGGCCUUCGGGCCUUGGUAGCGCAGCUAACGCGUGAAGUUGACCGCCUGGAAGUACAGUGCAAGAUUAAAACUCAAGGAAUUGACAGGACCCGCACAAGCGGUGGAUGAUGUGGAUUAAUUCGAUGCAACGCGAAAAACCUUACCUACCCUUGACAUGUCUGGAAUCCCGAAGAGAUUUGGGAGUGCUCGCAAGAAGAGCCGGAACACAGGUGCUGCAUGGCUGUCGUCAGCUCGUGUCGUGAGAUGUUGGAAUUUAAGUCCCGCAACAGGCGCAACCCUUGUCGUGGAUUGCUACGAAAGGGCACUCUAAUGAGACUGCCGGUGACAAACCGGAGGAAGGUGGGGAUGACGUCAAGUCCUCAUGGCCCUUAUGGGUAGG
rnacentral:misc_RNA from 1 species